CCUACGGGAGGCAGCAGUAGGGAAUCUUCCACAAUGGACGAAAGUCUGAUGGAGCAACGCCGCGUGAGUGAAGAAGGGUUUCGGCUCGUAAAGCCCUGUUGGUAGUGAAGAAAGAUAGAGGUAGUAACUGGCCUUUCUUUGCCGGUAAUUACUUAGAAAGUCCCGGCUAACUACGUGCCAGCAGCCGCGGUAAUACGUAGGUGGCAAGCGUUGUCCGGAUUUAUUGGGCGUAAAGCGAGUGCAGGCGGUUCAAUAAGUCUGAUGUGAAAGCCUUCGGCUCAACCGGAGAAUUGCAUCAGAAACUGUUGAACUUGAGUGCAGAAGAGGAGAGUGGAACUCCAUGUGUAGCGGUGGAAUGCGUAGAUAUAUGGAAGAACACCAGUGGCGAAGGCGGCUCUCUGGUCUGCAACUGACGCUGAGGCUCGAAAGCAUGGGUAGCGAACAGGAUUAGAUACCCUUGUAGUC
rnacentral:rRNA from 1 species